CAAAGCAGCUUCUGAACCAUUGAAACGGUAAGUUCUGUUGAUUAUCCUUCAAUUAGCCUACAUGUAACCUCAGCACUGUUAAUAUAUUACUGUGGUAAAUUUUAAUUGGGGAUUUUUCGUCAAAAUUCAGGCGGACCAUCAACCAGAGGCGAACUAAGCAUAACGGCAUCCUAUUCAGCCAAACGGUUGAUGGAUGAUGGACAAUGACAGGUUUCAGAUCGAAUGUUGCCUGGACUACUGAUGACCAUUCCAUGGCCUUCUGGCCAUCUUAUGCAGAUCCCAAUCAAAAUGGCAUUACUGAUGCAUGAAGUCCUUGGACCAUCGUGGACCACCCACACCAUUGUAAUUUUGGGCACUGCAGGACGUACCUAAGGCGUGGGACUAGUAGAACAUAAACGGCACCAACUACGUCAGCACAUCCCCCAGUAUUGUGGCUCCUGCUGGGCAAACGGCAGCAGCAGUGCCAUGGUGCUGGUCUUCGCUGGAUUUGCCACGCUUUGUUUUUUACUCACCUAAGACAGUAAUUGCUCCAUAUCUGAUGUCAUUGGUAUCAAAACAUAUUUUUGGCGACAUCUGACAAGUGAUACAUUUGAUCUGUAUUUUCUAGAUGACUGGCUUUAUAAAAUCCAAUGUCCUUUGAGUCCAUGGGGCUGAAGAACAGUGACUAGUUUCAAAAACCUCCUAAAAAGUUAUGUACGUUUUUUUUGUG